rnacentral:rRNA from 1 species
GUUUAAUUCGACGCAACGCGAAGAACCUUACCUGGCCUUGACAUGCAGAGGACUUUCCAGAGAUGGAUUGGUGCUUCGGGAACUCUGACACAGGUGCUGCAUGGCCGUCGUCAGCUCGUGUCGUGAGAUGUUGGGUUAAGUCCCGUAACGAGCGCAACCCCCUAUCCCUAGUUGCUAGCAGUUCGACUGAGAACUCUAGGGAGACUGCCGGUGACAAACCGGAGGAAGGUGGGGAUGACGUCAGGUCAUCAUGGCCCUUACGGCCAGGGCUACACACGUGCUACAAUGGCGCGCACAGAGGGCUGCAAACCCGCGAGGGGGAGCCAAUCUCACAAAACGCGUCGUAGUCCGGAUCGCAGUCUGCAACUCGACUGCGUGAAGUCGGAAUCGCUAGUAAUCGUGAAUCAGAAUGUCACGGUGAAUACGUUCCCGGGCCUUGUACACACCGCCCGUCACACCAUGGGAGUGGAUUGCACCAGAAGUGGUUAGUCUAACCUUCGGGAGGACGACCACCACGGUGUGGUUCAUGACUGGGGUGAAGUCGUAACAAGGUAACCGUA